GCUGAGCGCGUCGCCCGCGCUCCGGAAUUCGAAUUUCGAACGCGUUCGUAUUUUCUGACCGGACCUUUUGUGCACAGAUUAGGAAAAGACCGCGAAUGUUAUGUCACAUUUUGACAGAAAAUCGUAAUUAACUAAAUUGAAAUAAACAACGGCAGCUUUAAACUUCUCGUGAUUUUGUGUGAUUUACGUUUGUGAUACACGACACUAAUUUGUGGUGGAUUGAUUGAUGAAUGAUAAUAUAGGUAAUGGUGAUUACUGUGAAUGAAUGAAUUUCUGUGGCAUGUCAUUACAUUAGUGUGAUUGGUUGAAAUCGUUUUAAUCUUUACUGGAAUUAUUGACAAAUCACCGUUCGAGUCAAAUAUGAUAUUAAAACUAUGAAUCAUCCUAAUGCAGAAAUGUAACCCCCUCAAAAGUGUAAGUGUGACCGUGCGUGAGUGCUAGUGUCAGUGCGAUGUCAAAGUGACUCUCUCGGGCCAUGAGAGCGUGGGCCCGCGGGCCGGGCCGGUGCGCCGCGUGGGCCUGGCUGGCUGUCCUGGCGGCCUUGGGUCGGUCCACGGCCUAUACGGACAC